rnacentral:rRNA from 1 species
CCUACGGGGAGCAGCAGUGGGGAAUAUUGGACAAUGGGCGAAAGCCUGAUCCAGCCAUGCCGCGUGUGUGAAGAAGGCCUUCGGGUUGUAAAGCACUUUCGGUGGGGAAGAAAGCCUUGGGGCUAAUACCCUCGAGGAAGGACAUCACCCACAGAAGAAGCACCGGCUAACUCCGUGCCAGCAGCCGCGGUAAUGCGGAGGGUGCGAGCGUUAAUCGGAAUUACUGGGCGUAAAGCGCGCGUAGGCGGUCUGAUAAGCCGGUUGUGAAAGCCCCGGGCUCAACCUGGGAACGGCAUCCGGAACUGUCAGGCUAGAGUGCAGGAGAGGAAGGUAGAAUUCCCGGUGUAGCGGUGAAAUGCGUAGAGAUCGGGAGGAAUACCAGUGGCGAAGGCGGCCUUCUGGACUGACACUGACGCUGAGGUGCGAAAGCGUGGGUAGCAAACAGGAUUAGAUACCCCAGUAGUC